rnacentral:rRNA from 1 species
GACGAACGCUGGCGGCGUGCCUAAUACAUGCAAGUAGAACGCUGAAGGAGGAGCUUGCUUCUCCGGAUGAGUUGCGAACGGGUGAGUAACGCGUAGGUAACCUGCCUGGUAGCGGGGGAUAACUAUUGGAAACGAUAGCUAAUACCGCAUAAUAGUAGAUGUUGCAUGACAUUUGCUUAAAAGGUGCAAUUGCAUCACUACCAGAUGGACCUGCGUUGUAUUAGCUAGUUGGUGGGGUAACGGCUCACCAAGGCGACGAUACAUAGCCGACCUGAGAGGGUGAUCGGCCACACUGGGACUGAGACACGGCCCAGACUCCUACGGGAGGCAGCAGUAGGGAAUCUUCGGCAAUGGACGGAAGUCUGACCGAGCAACGCCGCGUGAGUGAAGAAGGUUUUCGGAUCGUAAAGCUCUGUUGUAAGAGAAGAACGAGUGUGAGAGUGGAAAGUUCACACUGUGACGGUAUCUUACCAGAAAGGGACGGCUAACUACGUGCCAGCAGCCGCGGUAAUACGUAGGUCCCGAGCGUUGUCCGGAUUUAUUGGGCGUAAAGCGAGCGCAGGCGGUUAGAUAAGUCUGAAGUUAAAGGCUGUGGCUUAACCAUAGUACGCUUUGGAAACUGUUUAACUUGAGUGCAAGAGGGGGAGAGUGGGAAUUCCAUGUGUAGCGGUGAAAUGCGUAGAUAUAUGGAGGGAACACCGGUGGCGAAAGCGGCUCUCUGGCUUGUAACUGACGCUGAGGCUCGAAGGCGUGGGAGCAAACAGG